UACGAAGGGGGCUAGCGUUGCUCGGAAUCACUGGGCGUAAAGGGUGCGUAGGCGGGUCUUUAAGUCAGGGGUGAAAUCCUGGAGCUCAACUCCAGAACUGCCCUUGAUACUGAAGGUCUUGAGUUCGGGAGAGGUGAGUGGAACUGCGAGUGUAGAGGUGAAAUUCGUAGAUAUUCGCAAGAACACCAGUGGCGAAGGCGGCUCACUGGCCCGAUACUGACGCUGAGGCGCGAAAGCGUGGGGAGCAAACAGG
rnacentral:rRNA from 1 species